rnacentral:rRNA from 1 species
AACAUUAGGUCAGGGAUAACCUCGGAAAGCUGAGGAUAACACGCUGAUAUAAACAUAUUUUCUGGAAUGAGAUAUUUUUCAAAGCUUCGAUGCCUAAGGAUGGGGCUGCGGCUGAUUAGCUAGUUGUUGGUGUAAUAGACUAACCAAGGCGAUGAUCAGUAAGGGCUCUGUAGCGGAGAGGCCCUGAGAAGGAUAUCUUAGACACUAUUCCUAGCUCUACGGGGUGCAGCAGUUAAGGAAUUUUUUCAAUGCCCGCAAGGGUGAUACGAGUAAGCCAGAGUGUUUUACUCUAAGAAAACUUUUAUCUGCUGUAAAAAGGCAGAUGAAUAAGGACUGGGCAAGACCGGUGCCAGCCGCCGCGGUAAUCCCGGCGGUCCAAGUCGCAAUUCACAAUUAUUGGGUCUAAAACAUCCGUAGCUUGUUUUGUCAAGUCUCUUGUGAAAUCUCAAAUCUUAAGUUUGAGGCCGUGCAAGAGAUACUGCUAAACUUUGAGACCGGAAGACGCAAAGAGUAUGUAUUGAGGUAGUGGUAAAAUAUGUUAAUCUUAAUCAGACUAACAAUGGCGAAGGCACUUUGCGAGUACGGAUCUGACAGUGAGGGAUGAAGGCUAGGGGCGCAAAAGGGAUUAGAUACCCCUGUAGUCCUAGCAGUAAACACUGCUCACUAAACAUCAGAUACCUCCUAGAGAGGUAUUGGUGCUGUAGGGAAGCCGAAGAGUGAGCUACCUGGGAAGUAUAGUCGCAAGGCCGAAACUUAAAGGAAUUGGCGGGGGAG